rnacentral:rRNA from 1 species
AUUCAACGCUGGCGGCAGGCCUAACACAUGCAAGUCGAGCGUGCGGCGGACGGGUGAGUAAUGUACUGGGACUGCCCGAUAUCGGGGGCUAACUACUGGAAACUGUAGCUAAUACGGCAUACUAUCGGACAACCCAGAUGGGAUUAGCUUGUAGGUGAGGUAAUGGCUCACCUAGGCGACGACCCCUAGCUGGUCUGAGAGGAUGAUCCGCCACACUGGGACUGGGACACGGCCCGUACUGCGAGGGAGGCAGCAGUGUGGAAUAUUGCACAAUGGGCGCAAGCCUGAUGCAGCCAUGCCGCGUGUAUGAAGAAGGCCCUAGGGUUGUAAAGUACUUUCAGUCGGGAGGCGUUAGCGAAAGAAGAAACACCGGAUAACUCCGUGCCAGCCGCCGCGGUAAUUC